rnacentral:rRNA from 1 species
AACGAACGCUGGCGGCAUGCCUAACACAUGCAAGUCGCACGGACGUAGCAAUACGUUAGUGGCGCACGGGAGAGUAACACGUGGGAAUCUACCUUUUAGUUCGGAACAACACCGGGAAACUGGUGCUAAUACCGGAUACGCCCCGAGGGGGAAAGAUUUAUCGCUAAAAGAGGAGCCCGCGUCUGAUUAGCUAGUUGGUGAGGUAAUGGCUCACCAAGGCGACGAUCAGUAGCUGGUCUGAGAGGACGAUCAGCCUCACUGGGACUGAGACACGGCCCAGACUCCUACGGGAGGCAGCAGUGGGGAAUAUUGGACAAUGGGGGAAACCCUGAUCCAGCAAUGCCGCGUGAGUGAUGAAGGUCUUCGGAUUGUAAAGCUCUUUUGGCAGGGACGAUGAUGACGGUACCUGCAGAAUAAGCUCCGGCUAACUUCGUGCCAGCAGCCGCAGUAA